rnacentral:lncRNA from 1 species
UACAAGCGAAUGCACAGGAAAUAAAAGAGUGAGUUGCACCCGUAUCGAUCAAAGCUUUGGUAGAAGUAUUAUGAAUAGAAAACAUACCUUGGAUGAGGACAGGAGCAUGAAGAACAUCAGAUUCAUUUGAGUGGUAUGCUCGACCUUAUGCUACAGGUCGGGCUACAUCAUUUGGUCACUGAGUGCAGUCCUUAAAAAUACAUAUUAGUUCUAAUACAUACAUAUAUUGAGGCCAGAAGUGGCUGCAAAAUACAAAAUAAAACAUAAGGGUCAUGUCUUUCACUAUGCUAUUGGACUCAUCAGAGU